UGGGGAAUUUUGGGACAAUGGGGGAAACCCUGAUCCAGCCAUCCCCGCGUGUGCGAUGAAGGCCUUCGGGUUGUAAAGCACUUUUGGCAGGAAAGAAACGUCGCGGGUUAAUACCCCGCNAAACUGACGGUACCUGCAGAAUAAGCACCGGCUAACUACGUGCCAGCAGCCGCGGUAAUACGUAGGGUGCAAGCGUUAAUCGGAAUUACUGGGCGUAAAGCGUGCGCAGGCGGUUCGGAAAGAAAGAUGUGAAAUCCCAGAGCUUAACUUUGGAACUGCAUUUUUAACUACCGGGCUAGAGUGUGUCAGAGGGAGGUGGAAUUCCGCGUGUAGCAGUGAAAUGCGUAGAUAUGCGGAGGAACACCGAUGGCGAAGGCAGCCUCCUGGGAUAACACUGACGCUCAUGCACGAAAGCGUGGGGAGCAAACAGGAUUAGAUACCCUGGUAGUCCACGCCCUAAACGAUGUCAACUAGCUGUUGGGGCCUUCGGGCCUUGGUAGCGCAGCUAGCGCGUGAAGUUGACCGCCUGGGGAGUACGGUCGCAAGAUUAAAACUUAAAUGAAUUGACGGGGUCAUAGCUGUUUCCCU
rnacentral:rRNA from 1 species